rnacentral:tRNA from 1 species
GCCCGGUUAGCUCAAUCGGUAGAGCGUCAGACUCUUAGGAAGCUCCUGCGAUCUGAAGGCUGCGGGUUCGACCCCCGCAUUGGGCU